UAGGGAAUCUUCCACAAUGGACGAAAGUCUGAUGGAGCAACACUGCGUGAAGGAUGAAGGUCGUAAGAUUGUAAACUUCUUUUCUGAGGGAAAAAUUCUGAUUGUACCUCAGGAAUAAGCGACUGCUAACUACGUGCCAGCAGCAGCGGUAAUACGUAGGUCGCAAGCGUUAUCCGGAAUUAUUGGGCGUAAAGCGUCCGCAGGUGGCGAGUUAAGUUGGAUGUUAAAUAUCUUGGCCCAACCAAGAUGCCGCAUCCAAAACUGGCUUGCUCGAGAAGUGCAGAGGCAAGUGGAAUUCUGUGUGUAGGGGUAAAAUCCGUUGAUACACAGAGGAACACCAAAAGCGAAGGCAGCUUGCUGGGCACUUUCUGACACUCAUGGACGAAAGCGUGGGUAGCAAACAGG
rnacentral:rRNA from 1 species